GUAGCAAAGCUGUGAUUUUGCUCUGCCCUGACAUGCAAGUUACUCCUGAUGAAGGUUCUUCUUCAAAACUGCAAUGUCUCCAUCAAGCCUUGCAAUCCAAUACACUGCAAAAUUCAGGUCAAUCUCCAAUCUGCAACAAUUGUUAUAAUAUCUUUCAGAUGCAAUACAAAG